UUUGGUUGCUAUAGCGAGAAGGAUACACCUGUUCCCAUUCCGAACACAGAAGUUAAGCUUCUCAGCGCUGAUAGUACUUGAUGGGAAACUGUCUGGGAGAGUAGGACGCAGCCAAGU
rnacentral:rRNA from 1 species